ensembl:lncRNA
CGAGGUCUCUGUAAACGGACGUCGUGAUUUUUCUGGACACCCCUCUAGGAGUUUGUGGUUCAACCUGCGGAAUUUAAAGGCAAAAUGGCGACAGGGUGAUGGAUGGCAGCCGAAUAUCCAGCACUUAACCGAGUGUCAUGGCGAUCUUGUCGUUGCCUACAAAUUUCCAGCGUCGGAAAGGCUGGCGAUCACAUGUCUGGAUGGUGCCACUGUUUUGGAAACUAUUGGAUUAAUGACCUCGCCACACCAUCCCCACGCCCCCUGCUGCUAAACCUUGUAUUAAUUGGGACGUCAAAAGCCACUUCUCCCACUCUUUAUUGUAUACGUUUACCAUUA